UACGGGAGGCAGCAGUGGGGAAUAUUGCACAAUGGGCGAAAGCCUGAUGCAGCUAUGCCGCGUGUAUGAAGAAGGCCUUAGGGUUGUAAAGUACUUUCAUCGGGGAGGAAAAAACAAAACUAAUAAUUUUAUUUCUUGACGUUACCCGAAAAAGAAGCACCGGCUAACUCCGUGCCAGCAGCCGCGGUAAUACGGAGGGUGCUAGCGUUAAUCAGAAUUACUGGGCGUAAAGAGCACGUAGGUGGUUUUUUUAAGUCAGAUGUGAAAUCCCUGGGCUUAACCUGGAACUGCAUUUUGAAACUGAAAUACUAGAGUAUCGUAGAGGGAGGUAGAAUUCUAGGUGUAGCGGUGAAAUGCGUAGAUAUCUGGAGGAAUACCUGUGGCGAAAGCGGCCUCCUAAACGAAUACUGACACUGAGGUGCGAAAAGCGUGGGGAGCAAACAGGGAUUAGAUACC
rnacentral:rRNA from 1 species